ACCAGACUCCUACGGGAGGCAGCAGUGGGGGAUAUUGCACAAUGGGGGGAACCCUGAUGCAGCAACGCCGCGUGAGUGAGGAAGUAUUUCGGUAUGUAAAGCUCUAUCAGCAGGGAAUAGAAAAGAAGGUACCUGAAAAAGAAGCCCCGGCUAACUACGUGCCAGCAGCCGCGGUAAUACGUAGGGGGCAAGCGUUAUCCGGAUUUACUGGGUGUAAAGGGGGCGCAGACGGCAGCGCAAGCCAGGAGUGAAAGCCCGGGGCCCAACCCCGGGACUGCUCUUGGAACUGCGCGGCUGGAGUGCAGGAGGGGCAGGCGGAAUUCCUGGUGUAGCGGUGAAAUGCGUAGAUAUCAGGAGGAACACCGGUGGCGAAGGCGGCCUGCUGGACUGCGACUGACGUUGAGGCCCGAAAGCGUGGGGAGCAAACAGGAUUAGAUACCCUGGUAC
rnacentral:rRNA from 1 species